AAUUCUUACGUGAAUACAUGCACAAUCAGCAGAACCCAAAUUCUUUGCCAUGUGUAUAUCUUGAUGAAACAUGGAUAUUUGAAAAUGGUUCGGUAGUUAGGUCAUUGCAAGACGAUAGUGUCAUAAGUAUCAGGAUGUUCAAAAUAGAAGGGAAAAUUUAGUAAUGUGUCAGUUUCACGUUAGUUAUUUAUUCUUCUCACUAUAUUUUAGGUAUAUUGUAUUACAUGCAGGUACAAGCAAUGGAUUUAUUGAUGAAGCAGCGCUAGUAUUUUCUUCUAAUACCAAAAAUCCAGACUAUCAUGGCGAAAUGAAUCAACAGAAUUUUCUCAAGUGGUUUCAAUUGCUCAUGAACCUUGAAGAACCAUCACAGAUUAUUAUAGACAAUGCAAGCUACCACAGUACCUUUGCAAACAAAUGUCCCAGUGGUUCAUGGAAAAAAGCAGAAAUUCGUGAAUGGCUUUAACAACAUGACAUAAGUUCAGAUUCACAGCUGUUAAAAACGGAACUUCUUCAUUUGGUUGCACAAAAUAAACCUCCAAAAACGUAUGUUGCCGUGAAUUGGGCCAACAGAAUGGCCAUAGAGUAUUGCGAUUGCCGCCAUAUCAUUGUGUGUUUAACCCUAUAGAAAAUACUUGGGGAAUUACUACAAAUUUUUAUUCCAAACACAUUGGGCGUGAUGGUUAUGGUCAAAAAAUUCCGUGAAAAUGUGGAAAGAAGCGUUAGCACAUGUCACGCCCACAAUGUGGAAAAAUACUGUUGACCAUAUGAAUAAAAUAAUACGGGAGUGGUGGGAACGGGAAUUAGUAUUUGACCGUGAAGAGAUUGCGCCGUUUAUAAUCGACAUUAACGAAGAUUCACAUUAUAGUUUUAGUGAUUAUGACAGUGAAGAUUCUAAUACUGCAGAGGGCAUUCAGCCACUGUAACAUGUAGGUUAUUUUCCAUUACCAUCCUAAUUGAUUGUACUAGCGGCAUGUUCUGCUGAUGUCUUUUAUAAUCACACUAUCACUUCACUGGCCAAAUAUACAAAUCACUGGUCAGACGACGACGUUGUGCAACAUGCAUACUUAUUAUUGUUUAUACUUUACUUUUGUAUCUAUUCCAUGUCAAUAAAGUAACUUAUUCUGUA